GACGAACGCUGGCGGCGUGCUUAACACAUGCAAGUCGAACGGAAAGACCCUGCUUUUGUGGGGUGCUCGAGUGGCGAACGGGUGAGUAACACGUGAGUAACCUGCCCUUGACUUUGGGAUAACUUCAGGAAACUGGGGCUAAUACCGGAUAGGAGCUCCUGCUGCAUGGUGGGGGUUGGAAAGUUUCGGCGGUUGGGGAUGGACUCGCGGCUUAUCAGCUUGUUGGUGGGGUAGUGGCUUACCAAGGCUUUGACGGGUAGCCGGCCUGAGAGGGUGACCGGCCACAUUGGGACUGGGAUACGGCCCAGACUCCUACGGGAGGCAGCAGUGGGGUAUAUUGAACAAUGGGCGGAAGCCUGAUGCAGCAACGCCGCGUGCGGGAUGACGGCCUUCGGGUUGUAAACCGCUUUCGCCUGUGACGAAGCGUGAGUGACGGUAAUGGGUAAAGAAGCACCGGCUAACUACGUG
rnacentral:rRNA from 1 species